ensembl:lncRNA
CAUGGGGAAUUGGCGGUUAACGACAUGCUCACUUUACUUGGACGUUUUCUAAUCGUCUUCUUUGGAAUAUGCUUUCAAGGUUGAAGCAGAAUUUGCCCAUCUUACAUCUGUUGAGCUGAAAGGGUUCCUUUUUGCUGUGCUUGACCAUUAUGGAGAGGUUCGUGGAGCUGUACAAAAUCAAGAGCGGCAUAGAAGGGCUAACUAGGCUCAUAAAAUACUUCAAUGAUGAUAGCCCUACACAAAGGACGAAGACAGAGGACCUCACCUUCCUUUUCUAAAGGAAGAUCUCUCACACACUUUCAAGACUGUGAAGG